GUGGGUAGUUUGACUGGGGCGGUCUCCUCCCAAAGAGUAACGGAGGAGCACGAAGGUUGGCUAAUCCUGGUCGGACAUCAGGAGGUUAGUGCAAUGGCAUAAGCCAGCUUGACUGCGAGCGUGACGGCGCGAGCAGGUGCGAAAGCAGGUCAUAGUGAUCCGGUGGUUCUGAAUGGAAGGGCCAUCGCUCAACGGAUAAAAGGUACUCCGGGGAUAACAGGCUGAUACCGCCCAAGAGUUCAUAUCGACGGCGGUGUUUGGCACCUCGAUGUCGGCUCAUCACAUCCUGGGGCUGAAGUAGGUCCCAAGGGUAUGGCUGUUCGCCAUUUAAAGUGGUACGCGAGCUGGGUUUAGAACGUCGUGAGACAGUUCGGUCCCUAUCUGCCGUGGGCGCUGGAGAAUUGAGGGGGGCUGCUCCUAGUACGAGAGGACCGGAGUGGACGCAUCACUGGUGUUCGGGUUGUCAUGCCAAUGGCACUGCCCGGUAGCUAAAUGCGGAAGAGAUAAGUGCUGAAAGCAUCUAAGCACGAAACUUGCCCCGAGAUGAGUUCUCCCUGAGACUUUAAGUCUCCUGAAGGAACGUUGAAGACGACGACGUUGAUAGGUCGGGUGUGUAAGCGCAGCGAUGCGUUGAGCUAACCGAUACUAAUGAACCGUGAGG
rnacentral:rRNA from 3 species